CGUAGGUGGCAAGCGUUGUCCGGAUUUAUUGGGUUUAAAGGGUGCGUAGGCGGUCUAUUAAGUCAGUGCUGAAAUAUCCCGGCUUAACCGGGAGGGUGGCAUUGAUACUGAUGGACUUGAGUGCAGUCGAGGUAGGCGGAAUUGACGGUGUAGCGGUGAAAUGCUUAGAUAUCGUCAAGAACACCGAUAGUGUAGACAGCUUACUAGGCUGUAACUGACGCUGAGGCACGAAAGUGUGGGGAUCAAACAGGAUUAGAUACCCUGGUAGUCCACACUGUAAACGUUGAUGACUCGCUGUUUGCGAUAUACAGUAAGCGGCUUAGAGAAAUCGUUAAGUCAUCCACCUGGGGAGUACGCCGGCAACGGUG
rnacentral:rRNA from 1 species